rnacentral:lncRNA from 1 species
AAAGUACGUCUGUAAGAUUAGGCAAUAUAUGAUUAACAGUAGAAGUAGUAUUAGAUGUUAAGGAUAGGCUGUUAUAUGAAAGGUCAAGAUAUUCGAGAUUUGGAAGGUUUGAGAACAUGCGAGACUCUAUGACACCACUAAGAUUAUUUGAGGAUAAGCUGAGGUGGGUAAGAUUAAGAAGUUGGAAUAUUGAAGAUGGAAGAGGACCUUGGAGUUUAUUAUUCUCUAACGCUAUCAAUUCUAGUGAUUUGGAUUGGAAUUCUUUGAUAUGCCCACUGAAUUGAUUUUGAGAGAGAUAUACUGUCUUUAAGGAAGGAGCAGUAUACAACCAUGACGGAAGUGUUCCAUUGAGUAAAUUGUUAGAUAAUUCUAAAUAUUUUAGAUGAGGAAAAGCGGUUACCUCAUCUGGAAUGGAACCUUCUAAAGAAUUAUAAGAUAUUUUCAAAUGUUCUAGCUGCAUUAGGUUUAGAAUUGACAAUGGAAUUUGUCCACUCAAUUGGUUAUGCCACAAGUAUAAAUCAGUGAGUUGCAAGAGGUUACCCAAUGAUCUUGGAAUUUGUCCACUCAAAUGGUUCGCCGUCAAGUCUAAAUGACUAAGUUGCAAGAGGUUUCCCAGUGAUCUUGGAAGCGGUCCUGAUAAGUUGGAAUGGGAGAGAACUAAAAACUUCAAGGACACAAGAUUCCCCAUCGAGUUAGGCAAUCCUCCAAAAACAUCUGCGCCUAUAAGAAUCAAGUACUCCAAAGAUGAUAAAUUUGUGAGUGAGACAGACAAUCCUUGAAAGAAAGAAUUUCCUGAUAGAUCUAAGUACUUUAAGGCCUGUAGAUUAUCAACUGAAUCAAUGAAUUCUGUAGAGAAGGACACGGACGACAGAUCCAAAUGUUCAAGAUUGCUGCUCCGAUUGAACUUCAAAGGAUCAAGAUUGAGGUUUUGGUUGCCUCCCAAGUUGAGGAGAUUGAGGUUUGGCAAAUCAAAAAUGUUUUUUGGGAAUUUUCCUUGCAAAUCACAACCAGCAAGACUGAGAGACCUUAGAGAAGAGGAUAGAUUCAUGAAGACAUGAGCAUUAACAGAAGUCAUGUUGAUUCCAUCCAAAAACAGAUGUCUGACCUCGGUUAGGUUGUGAACAAGUCCCUCCAGAGCAUGUUUGUCAAUUGUUAGUACAUUAGCCCAAAAGGAGAGAUCAAGUGAAACCAAUUUUGACAGGUGGGAGACUUGGGAUGGGACUUCUCCUGCAAACCCUGUAUAAGAAAGGUUGAGGUAGAAUAGGCUUGUAAACCGACCGAACUCGGAUGGAAUUUUGGAAAGAUUAAAAUCAUUGUAGGCAAGGUUGAGUUUUUGAAGGUGAGGAAGAAGGAAGAGAGUGGUAUUGGAAGGGAAGUUGCCAUAUAGCCAACUGCAGCUCAAAUCAAGGGCAAUAACAUGAGCAUUUAGGUGGUCACAAGUGACCCCAUCCCAUGAGCAGCAAUCUGUACCCUCCUUCCAUGAAUUUGUCAUGGGGUAAGAUUUAAGGCCAGCAAUCCCAUCGCAAUAUAAAGUAGGAAGCAUUGUCUGAGUAAUGGAAAAAGAAUUCUUGAACUGGAUUAGUGAAGCAGCUUCAGGGUGAGAGCAGGAGUGAGAUCCUGAAGAAGCAGCAUAAAGAUGGGGAAAGAAGAGGAAUAGGCAGAGAAAGAGGUAGGAGGCCAUGUUAUGUUUAUAGAGGAAGAUGAAGGAUAGGAAUGGUACUUAUAGGCAACAAAUAAUACCACAACAUUGUAGUCUUCUUUUUACCAUAUAUUUUCCAUUCUUAAAAUUUGAUGUUUUUCUUUUAGCAAAAUAUUGUAUUUCAUUUGAAGUCCUAAACAACUAAAAAAAUUAAGAUUGAUGAGAUUACAAAGUAGAUUGACUUAGUCUUCUUUCCUAUAACACUUAAAGAAUGUCUUGUCAACCAAAGUUAAUUAAUGUGAAAAUUCUUUUUUACACAAAAGAACAAAAUUGUGCUCUAUUCACUACGUUAGAGGAAGAAGACUGCUAGAUUUUUUAAUUAUUUUUUCUUUGAAAAAUUUGAGAGUUUUUUACUGCCAUAAGCCAAUAAAAAAAAACAUGUAUUAAUUUUAUUUUUAAAAAUUGUGUGUUUGAUUGUGAAAUAAUUCAUCGUCCUCCACCACAAACUAUCCAUGUUUGCUGUGUGAAAGCAGGUACUUCCAUAAAGAAAUUACUAAGGAGAUGGGAUUCACCAAUUUUACCUAAACUCGCAUCAACAUUGUUUAGUGCUCCCUCAAUUUCACAUCAAUGCAUUCAAUUUCAAAAUAGGUUACCAAGACUACAAUAUCUAUUCACUUGGUCUUGCUUCCUAUCACUGUCAACCAAACUUGAUCGACUAGCAGUAGGGAAAUUUCAGUCAUUUGCAGUAUAAUGUACAAGAAUUACACUCCCACAAAAUAAUUUACAAUAUGGACUAACACUCCUUUGUUUCACUAAAAAUAAUUUUUAAAAAACGAUUUUUAGAAAGUAAUUUUUGAAAAAUGGUUAAAAGAUAAUUUUUGUUUCUGAAAUAGUUAAUUUUUUUUGGUGUUUAGAUAAAUUUGUGUAAAAUAUUUUUUGAUGUUUAAAAAAAUUCGAGAAAAUAUUUCAUAAAAGUUGUCUUUAAUGAAAUCAACAUAUAUUUGAAAUUUUGUUAUGUUUUCAUUGUUUACUUAAGUUUAUUUCAUAAAGCCUAUUUAUAUUUUAAUUAAUCAUAUUUUAGUUUUAAUUAAUUUUAAUUUACUUAAUUAAGCUUAAUUGUUAAUUUCGUACAUUAGAAUAUAAAUUUAUGUUUAAUUAAGUUGAAAGUGAUAAAUAUUUAUUUUGAAUAUUAUUUGGAUAAGUUGAAAAUGAUUUAAUUUGAUAAAAUUGAAGUCAGGGCCAUAGAACUAUGAUUUUUACUGACAAAAUCUUGGAUGCAGAGAUCAUUGAGACUAAAAAAUGAAAGUCAUGAAAGAAGACAUAAAUAGUUGAACCAUACAAAAUGUUACAUUUAAAACAAACCCUUACAAAUACUACCUAAUGCAAUGAAAUAUAGAUGAAUUGUUACAAUAACAAAGACAGAUGCAUGGCAAUGCAACCUUUCACCAUGGGAAAAAAUUUGACGGACUUCAAAACAAGAAAUUAUGAAGAUACAACGUACACACUUGAACAUCAUUUCCACGAACUAGAUCCUUCUUUGUCCAUUGCUGCGACUGCCAUCCUUUGACUUUCUUCUUCGCUUCUUCUCAUGUUGGAUUUCAACCAAAUUCACCAACCAUUUUGGCUUACCAAUUUGGAAAACAACAUAUCCCAUGACCAUUCCAAACACUACUCCGCAUCCAAAACCUAUCAACACCAAUUUCCAACCAAAAGAGAUGUUUGAUUUUGAACCAUCAUUUUCAAGCACAUUUGGAGGUGGUGGCUCAAUGAUUUGCAUCCUUUUGAGACCGGAAAUCCACAUAAUCCCUAGUUUCCUUCAUAUGAAUCAUUUCCAUAUGUGUUGAACUGUUUGCCUUGAGGAAUCUGACCAUGGAGUUGAUUUUCAGAAACAUUGAAGGACGAAAGAAAUGCCAAAUCUGCAAAUCUAUUUGGAAUUGUCCCAGACAACCUGUUUGAAGAUAGGUCCAACCAUUCAAGACUUGUCAAAUUCAUACCACAAUUAUAAACACUGUCAUAUGACAUGAAUAACAUACCCACAUAUUUACUGUCACAUGGCAUGAAAAACACACCCUCAUAUUCACUUUCACAUCAGUCAUCAUAAGCUUAUAACAUAUGUCAUAGCAAUCUAAUAUAUGUUCAUAAUUUCACAAUUUCACAAGCGUACAUGUAUCACAUUUAAUCAUAUGCACGAGAAAACUUACUCACUUACUCUCGAAAUUUAGUGUAGGGGCUUAGGCUACCAUUAAAUUCUCAAUUACACAAUGAAUCAUCUACGAGCAAUGAUUCCAAAACACUCAUAGAUAUCAACUUUAGCCAAAAAUCGAGAGCUUGAACUAGCUCUUCCUCUAACUCGUAGAAGGCUCUAAUGAAUCCGAGGCUUCACACAUGACAAUCACACAAUACCCACAGUCAAAUGACAGCCAAGCACCCACUUAAACUAACCAAAACACAAGCCUAAGCUACCUUCUCAUGUAACCAAACACUUUAGCAUGACGAACUUAAAAUGCAAAUAUAUCGAUCUACACUUAACAUUUUUGCAUGAAACAAGUUUCAAUCAUCCCCAUAUUUAUCUAUAAUUAAACUCAUACAAAACUGAACGUUUUAAGGUAUCGAUAUUUUUCAACAUGUUUGGCCAUAAUAAUGAAAAUUCAUUAAAAGGCGAGAAAUUGUUAAUGAAACUUGUAAGUAAUUUUAGAAACUUUCUAAUCAAGUUAAAACAAGUUGAAAAACACUUUCAAAUCACAUUUUUAUCCACAAUCUCAAAUUCCACUAUUAAUGAUCCAAUUUUUGAGUUUUAAUUAAAACAUGCAAUUUCAUAACUAAAAAACUCAAUUUUAAAGUCUAAAUAACUUUAAAAAUUAAUGGUAAAGUAAAUGGUUACAUUUGAUGGAAGAUUAAACGAGUUUUGACUAAAUUUGAAAAACCCACUAUUGAAGAUGAUGAUGAAAUCUCUGGAGUUUUUGAGUGUUUUUCCUGGAGAAUUAUGAAGGUAAUUGACUUGGGAAUUAUAAGAAAUCAAAGUAUUAUUGUUUGGGAAUAAAAAAUCAAUUGAAAGAUAAAGGGAAUAGCAAAGGACGGCAAUAGCAAACUUUGGAGAGUAACCAUCGUGAAAUAGAACUGGGAUUGGGGUUUAUUAGGUUCAAUUUUAAAAAUUGGUAAAACUGCAAUAUAAGUGCUCACUAUUUUAACUUUGUUACAAAUUAUUCCCUUUUUUUUUUUUCUAAAAUUUAGGAAUUUAAAACUUAUUUUCAGAAAUUGACUCAAUUCCCUAAUGGCCAUUGUCGAAAACAUUGUCGAAUACCAAGCUUACGAAAUUUUGAGCACAUAUAGGCUAAAAUUCCUAAAAUACACUCGAAAUUCUUCGACCCUAUUUUGGGGUGUUACACACAUGGUCAUGAUUCGUGUUGAAUUAAUCCAUCAUUCACCGUAAUAAGACUUGUCGUUGUAAUAAUUUAUUUUGAUAUGUAUUAUUUUAUGAUGCAUAAACAUCAUAAAUUUUUAUAUUAUGAAAUAAUAUAAUUAGUUAAAUCAUCUAAUAUCUAAAAAAUAAUUAUUAUUUUAAUAAAAUCAUUCAUCAAAUUUUUGUUUUCAAAUUUCAUACAUGAAAUUAACAAAUAAAGAUAGCUCUAAAUAGCAAAACAUGGUAGGAUGGUUUUUUUGUGCAAACUUAGGAUUUCAAUUCUCAUCAAGGAACUUGCAAGCCUAUUAUAGUAGAAAUGUUUUAUCCAAACGAUAAAGAUGUUGAUGCAACAUUUUAGAUUGCAAAUUCCUUGCUCACAUUUGGAAUCCUAACCACAGGGACUUGCAAGCCUAUUAGCUCCAGGAACUUUAGAUUGUACUUGCAAAUUCCUUGCUCACAUUUGGAAUUCUAUUCUGGUUCAUCUCAUUGAAUACAUCAAAUGGAGGAUCAAUACGCUGAAAACGGAUCAAAUCCCUUGCAAUGUUGUUUGGAUCACAACAGCUCAUCUUUCAAUCCUAGAUGGCUCCGCCAAUUUCUUGAAAGCAUACAUAAACUGUUAAAGAAAUAAAUGGAUAAAACAACUACAGGAUAGAAGGCUGAAAAUUUACGAAGGGCAAUGACCUUAAUGUUAAAAUUCCAACGUCCAUUCCUUGGAAAGAUAUCUUCACCAUUGCCCACUCAAGAGAACUCAAAUAGCAGCAAGAUCUAGAAUAAAAUGUAACCCUCAACAACACACAAAUGUUUGUUCUGUCAAGGAACAAUACACAGACAUAUUCACCUACCGUUGGUGCUGGCAGAAUAUGCCCAUUCACUUGGGUGAAAUUAGAGUUGAUAUUAACCCCACAAGAUUUCUGCACCAUAAUUACUGCUAAGUAAAACCUGCACAUAAAUUUUCAUUCUUCACUAGAAACUGAAACUAUUUUUGUAAGUAAAAAUUAGUUGUAUUCAUUCUUCGCAUAAUUGAUCUUUUGUUGUGGAAGUAUUGUAUUUCCGGUAAUCCAUUAAGUAUUCAGUGUUUGAUACAAUAGAUUUGCAUUUUACUAUUGUAUUUUGUGGAAGGAACCUUUACCUAUUUUGUUUUUUGCAUUUCUGAUUAGUUUACAUUUUUCAGUAAUUAAUUUAUGUUGUUUUUGCCAAACUUUGUAGCGUUUCACUUUUGGUAAAAUUUCACCCUUGGUCCCUUUAAACUCCUUCUUGCUUUAAUUUGAUUGCUUUCUAGCGUUGCAAAUUACAUAACAUUCUUCAAAUGUCUUACUAAAUUCUCACUUUUACGAGUGCUAUGAUAAUCAAUUAAAAUUCAAUUCAGUUUUAAGUUCAAUAUAACACUUACAUGGCUACAAAAUGUGUCCUUAACCCCAAACAAUCCAAAUUUGCAGAGAAACCACCCAUUAUAUAUAGGUUUGCCAAUGAGACGGCAAGCAGACUGCUAGCUAGAAAUUCAUGCAUCUUUGAAUCACCAAUUCAAUUAAUAAGCUUAAGUAAAGGAAAUAAGGACUUUACAUCCUCCAAUUAAAGCAACCUAUAUGUACCCUUUUACAGUCUGCAUUGUUCCAUGUUUCAAUUCAUUACAUCAUUCCUUCAACUCUGCUAUAUAUUAUUACCGUCUCCAGAUAACCAAACCUUUUACUGCUAACUUGUAAAAAAAAUUAUGAAAAUACAACAGAGAUCAUUGACACAUUGUUGAAGUUGGCUUGCAGGCAGACCAAGAAGCAGACCAAGCUGUCCGAGCCAUGCAAGCUGCAGCUGAAGCUUAUGCUGCCGUUUUGCUACUUUCAAAUAGAUAUUUUAUUACUUAGUUAGAUAUGAACUAAGUUGUUGAUAUGCCUGAUGUAAUUAGGUGCUGAUAGAUUGAUAAAUCAGCUUUACCAAGUGUACCAAGUUACUAAGCCACAUAGUGGAGUUAGGUAUGUGUUUAGGUAACAUUUUCUUAUUUUUGACCAGCUGAUUGCUUGGUAUAUGUAAUGGCAGUGUGCCUUCAUUCAAACAUAAUGAAAUCUUUCAGAAAAAUCUUCUUCAUUUGGUCUUUACUUAAGCAUUUUUAUUCACAAAGCUCUUGCUGUUUUUGUUUUGUUUGUUGAGCAAGAUAUCAAUGCUUUAUGCUUAAGUUUCUGUCAAAAUUUCUCAUUCUGUUUUCUUAGUUCCUACAGUCAUUUUGUUCUCCUUUCUCCUUUACUGAGCAGUAGCAAAGAUUAUUGAGACUAAAUUGAAAUCCAUGAAAGAAGACAUUAACAACACCACCAUACAAAAUGUCACACUCAAACAAACCAUUACUGAUAGUACGAAAUGCAAUGAAAGACAGAGGAAUUGGUACAAUAAUAAAGACAGACACAUACCAAUGCAACCCUUCACCAUAGGCAAAACGGUCUACAGAACAAGAAAUUAUAAAAAUACAACACUAAUUCUUGAACAUCAUUUGCAGUAAUUAGAUCCUUCUUCGUCUACUGCUGCGAUUGCCUUUCUUUGACUUUCUUCUUCGCCUCUUCUCAUGUUGGUUUUCAACCAAAUUCACCAACCAUUUUGGCUUUCCAGUUUGGAAAACAACAUAUCCCACGAACAUUCCGAACACUACUCCACAUCCAUAACCUAUCAACACCACUUUCCAACCAAAAGCAAUGUUUGAUUUUGAGCCAUCUUUUUCAAGCACAUUUAGAGGUGCUGGCUCAAUGAUGUUGCAACCUUUCGAGACCGGAAAUCCACAUAGUCCCUUAUUUCCUUCAUAUGAUUCAUUUCCAAAUGUGUUGAAUUGUUUUCCUUGAGGAAUCUGACCAUGGAGUUGAUUUUCAGAAAUAUUGAAGGACGAAAGAAAUGGCAGAUCUGCCAAUCUAUUUGGAAUCGUCCCAGACAACCUGUUUGAAGAUAGGUCCAACCAUUCAAGAUUUGUCAAAUUCCCUAUUGAAGUGGGGAUACCACCAUUAAGGUUAUUGUGAGAAAGGUUGAGCCCUUUCAGUAAGUUAAGCUUCCCAAUAACCUUUGGAAUCUCUCCUUCAAACUGAUUGUUUGAUAGAUCAAUGAUCAUCCACAUGGUGAAAAUUUUCACCAAUUCCAUAUAUUUUCCUUUCAUAAUAAUUCCAAUAGAAUAGGCAUAGAAGCCGCUAGUAUAAUCUCCCACACCCAUGUAUGGCCUUGCACUACCUUUUUUCUUGAGAUUUAUGAUAGCCUUGAAGCUGUUGAUGUAUCUCACUGGUAGGGGUCCAGAAAAAUAGUUACUUGAGAGGUCAAAAUUUUGGAUUUUAGAGAAGAAAGGGCUAGACUUGGGGCUAUUGACACGCAAAGAACCAUGCAUAUGAUUAGACUUCAAUACAAGAACUUGCAAAUAUGGAAGACUUCCCAACCAAUGAGGAAAUGUAUCAUUGAUCUUGUUGUUACCAAGAUCUAGCACUUCCAGACCUCUACAAUUAAGGAUGGAUGGUGUCAAUGGCCCUUCUAACAAAUUUCCAUUUAAGUUGAAAUUACUCAAUUGGCAUCCCUCUGCAAAUGUUGGAGGAAUCGUCCCAUAAAACUUGUUCUUCUUCAGAUUUAAGAAUUCAAGGCUGUUGCUCAAAUUUCCAAAACAUUGCGGAAUUGUUCCACUCAAGUUAUUGUGGGACAAAUCAAGAAUAAGAAGAGAAGUGACAUUGCAGAUUAAAGAAGAGACCUCUCCAUUGAAACUAUUAUUUGAGAUCAGAAAGACAUUGAUGGUCGAAGCUGGAAUCGGAAGAUUUCCACGGAUCAAAUUGGAGCUUAAGUCAAGAACUUCAAUAUUCUUCCAUGGAAAGUGCUCAACUUCUGUCAAAGAGUUGUGAGAUACGUUUAAGUAAGCCAAAGAGCCUUUCCCCACCUCUUGCAUCCACUGUGGAAUCUUGCCUUCAAUUUUGUUGCAAGAGAGGUCUAAGCGUUUCAAACUUUUAAGCCCUUCCAAAAAUUGGGGGAAUUCACUAAGAUUGCAAGAUGACAAACGUAAGUCCAUAAGAUUAGGCAAUAUAUGGUUAACACAAGAAGUAGUAUUAGAUGUUAAGGAUAGGCUAUUAUAUGAAAGGUCGAGAAGUUUUAGAGUUGGAAGGUUUGAGAACAUGCGAAACUCUAUGACACCACUAAGAUUAUUUGAGGAUAAAACGAGGCGGGUAAGAUUGAGAAGUUGGAAUAUAGAAGAUGGAAGAGGACCUUGGAGUUUAU